rnacentral:SRP_RNA from 1 species
GCCAGGCGUGGUGGCGGGCGCCUGUAAUCCCAGCUACUCAGGAGGCUGAGGCAGGAGAAUCGCUUGAACCCAGGAGGCAGAGGUUUCAGUGAGCCCAGAUUGUGCCACUGCACUCUAACCUGGGAAACAGAGUGAGACUCUGUCUCAN